rnacentral:rRNA from 1 species
GACGUAGGGCGCGAGCGUUGUCCGGAUUUAUUGGGCGUAAAGAGCUCGUAGGCGGCUCGUUGCGUCGGCUGUGAAAACCCGCAGCUCAACUGUGGGCUUGCAGCCGAUACGGGCGGGCUGGGAUUCGGUAGGGGAGACUGGAAUUCCUGGUGUAGCGGUGAAAUGCGCAGAUAUCAGGAGGAACACCGGUGGCGAAGGCGGGCCUCUGGGCCGAUAUCGACGCUGAGGAGCGAAAGCGUGGGGAGCGAACAGG